AGAAUUAGUAUUAUUAUUUUGACUGGUUAAGACCAAAUAUAACACUUCGCCUUAUGAUGAUCGCAGCUGAAUAAUAUUACUAUCAAGAAGUAUUGUGUGGUAUGAGUAAGGCCAGAGCAGAGCUCCUGGAGUGAAUUGGGGGUAACCGACCUUAGUCAGCAACGCGCUUGCGAUGCUUUUGGUGUGCAGGCGUCUAUAAGCUACGGUAAUCGCAUACUAUCAGGUUCGGCAGAAUACUAAAAAUCCUGCACACAUUUUGAAG
rnacentral:misc_RNA from 1 species